GUGCCAGCCGCCGCGGUAAUACGUAGGUGGCGAGCGUUGUCCGGAAUUACUGGGUGUAAAGGGUGCGUAGGCGGGUAUGCAAGUCAGAUGUGAAAUACCGGGGCUCAACCCCGGGGCUGCAUUUGAAACUGUAUAUCUUGAGUGCAGGAGAGGAAAGCGGAAUUCCUAGUGUAGCGGUGAAAUGCGUAGAGAUUAGGAGGAACACCAGUGGCGAAGGCGGCUUUCUGGACUGUAACUGACGCUGAGGCACGAAAGCGUGGGGAGCGAACAGGAUUAGAUACCCUGGUAGUCCACGCUGUAAACGAUGGAUACUAGGUGUAGGGGGUAUCGACCCCCUCUGUGCCGGAGUUAACACAAUAAGUAUCCCACCUGGGGAGUACGGCCGCAAGGUUGAAACUCAAAUGAAUUGACGGGG
rnacentral:rRNA from 1 species